AGUACAUACAAUUUAAAUGGUGUAUCUUUUUAUAAUAUAUAAAAUUUGUUUUGAUAAUAUUCAAUAAUUGACAUUAUUACCCCAUUUUAUAAAAAAUAAAAACUGACUUAAAAAAGAAAGCCUUGUGUAAUUGUACCAUAAAAACUGAGAAACUGCAUAUUUUAGUUAAAACUAACUGGUAAAUCGACAAUCCACACAAUUUCAAUUUAUUUUUAUUUUUUUUGCUUAAACAAAAAUUAAUUAAUGGUUUAUUUAAACAAUUUAUUUUUGAUAUGAUCAAGUAAAUCAAAUAAAUUAAAAAUAUACCACACAACUAACUUAAACAGAUUUCACAACAAAUUUGAAUAUUUUAAGAAUCCU